UACAGAGGGUGCAAGCGUUUGUUCGGAAUCAUUGGGCGUAAAGCGUGCGUAGGCGGCCCUCCAAGUUGAAUGUGAAAGCCCUGAGCUCAACUCAGGAAGUGCAUUCAAGACUGGUGGGCUUGAGUCCUGGAGAGGGUGGUAGAAUUCCCAGUGUAGAGGUGAAAUUCGUAGAUAUUGGGAGGAAUACCAGUGGCGAAGGCGACCACCUGGACGGAGACUGACGCUGAGGCACGAAAGCGUGGGGAGCAAACAGG
rnacentral:rRNA from 1 species